AGCAGCCGCGGUAAUUCCAGCUCCAAUAGCGUAUAUUAAAGUUGUUGCAGUUAAAAAGCUCGUAGUUGAAUUUCGGGAUCAAUACGUCGGUCGUGCUUCGGUACGUACUGGCGUCAUUGGUUUCUCCCUUCUGACGAACCAUGAUGUCGUUAACUUGGUGUCAUGGGAAAUCAGGACUGUUACUUUGAAAAAAUUAGAGUGUUUAAAGCAGGCUCACGCUUGAAUACAUUAGCAUGGAAUAAUGAAAUAGGACGUUCGAUCCUAUUUUAUUGGUUUCUAGGAUCAACGUAAUGAUUAAUAGGGAUAGUUGGGGGCAUUAGUAUUCAAUUGUCAGAGGUGAAAUUCUUGGAUUUAUUGAAGACUAACUACUGCGAAAGCAUUUGCCAAGGAUGUUUUCAUUAAUCAAGAACGAAAGUUAGGGGAUCGAAGACGAUCAGAUACCGUCGUAGU
rnacentral:rRNA from 1 species